UCUCUGAAGUGCUGGGAUUAAAGUCAUGCCU
rnacentral:piRNA from 1 species